rnacentral:rRNA from 1 species
CCUACGGGUGGCAGCAGUGAGGAAUAUUGGUCAAUGGCCGGAAGGCUGAACCAGCCAUGCCGCGUGAAGGGCAGGGCCCUAUGGGCGUUAAACUUCUUUUGUGCGGGAGCAAUAAUGGUCACGUGUGGCCAGACGAGAGUACCGUACGAAUAAGCAUCGGCUAACUCCGUGCCAGCAGCCGCGGUAAUACGGGGGAUGCAAGCGUUAUCCGGAUUUAUUGGGGUUAAAGGGUGCGUAGGCUGUGAGGUAAGUCAGCGGUGAAAUGCCCCCGCUCAACGGGGUGAAGUGCCAUUGAUACUGCCUUGCUGGAAUGCGGAUGCCGUGGGAGGAAUGUGUGUUGUAGCGGUGAAAUGCAUAGAUAUCACUCAGAACACCGAUUGCGAAGGCAUCUCACGAAUCCGCGAUUGACGCUGAUGCACGAAAGCGUGGGUAUCAAACAGGAUUAGAUACCCGGGUAGUC